CAGCAGCGCCUUCUGGAGGCCUUUGGUCCUCCAGGGGUUUUGGACUUCAGCUCCCAGAAGCCUCAGCCACUAUGGCCAGAGCCGUGGGAUUCUGGGAGUUGAAGUCCAAAAUACCUCCAGGGCCACAGUUUAAGAAGCAGCGCCGUGGAUCACUAACUUCUUGGACCAAGGUUCAAGCCUCCCUUCAGUCAUGGAGCCCAGUGGGUGACCUUGUCCUUUAGCCUUACUUCCUUGAAAGGACUGUUAGAAAAAUGAAAAGGAGAUGGCAGUGCAGAAGACACAGGCAUGGAGUGGGAGUCCAUGGUUCUGCAGUUCCACAAAAGAAAAGAGCUUGAUAAAGCAGAAAACUACCUCUUCGGUCUGGAUUGGGGGUACUGCUGUCUAGGAUCCUUGACUGGACACCUACAUCAUUGUACUGCAAGCAUCUAUUAAGCCAUCCAUCCACUUACCCCGACAGACAGGAACACAUCGCCCAAGGCUGAAGAAACGAGAAUGCAGCUCCUUUGUGAAACAGAUGUCUGCAGCUGUGGGGGUCCUGGAACAGGAAAAAGAUCAAUAAACCAUGUUCAAAACAUG